AUUGAACGCUGGCGGCAGGCUUAACACAUGCAAGUCGAGCGAGCGGCGGACGGGUGAGUAAUGCCUGGGAAACUGACUGAUGGAGGGGGAUAACUACUGGAAACGGUAGCUAAUACCGCAUACCAUCAGAUGCGCCCAGAUGGGAUUAGGUAGUAGGUGGGGUAAUGGCUCACCUAGGCGACGAUCCCUAGCUGGUCUGAGAGGAGGACCAGCCACACUGGGACUGAGACACGGUCCAGACUCCUGCGUGAGGCAGAAGUGGGGAAUAUUGCACAAUGGGCGCAAGCCUGAUGCAGCCAUGCCGCGUGUGUGAAGAAGGCCUUCGGGUUGUAAAGCACUUUCAGCGAGGAGGCGUUACUCGCAGAAGAAGCACCGGCUAACUCCGUGCCAGCCGCCGCGGUAAUUC
rnacentral:rRNA from 1 species